rnacentral:rRNA from 1 species
CCAAUAGCGUAUAUUAAAGUUGUUGCAGUUAAAAAGCUCGUAGUUGAAUUUCGGGAUCAAUUAGUCGGUCGUGCCUCUGGUACGUACUGGUUUUAUUGGUUCCUCCCUUCUGACGAAACAUGAUGUCAUUAAUUUGGUGUCGUGGAGAAUCAGGACUGUUACCUUGAAAAAAUUAGAGUGUUUAUAGCAGGCUAACGCUUGAAUACAUUAGCAUGGAAUAAUGAAAUAGGACGUUCGACCCUAUUUGGUUGGUUUCUAGGAUCGACGUAAUGAUUAAUAGGGAUAGUUGGUGGCAUUAGUAUUCAAUUGUCAGAGGUGAAAUUCUUGGAUUUAUUGAAGACUAACUACUGCGAAAGCAUUUGCCAAGGAUGUUUUCAUUAAUCAAGAACGAAAGUCAGGGGAUCGAAGACGAUCAGAUACCGUCGUAGUCUUAACCAUAAACUAUGCCGACUAGGGAUCAGACAAGGAUCUUUUGACUUGUUUGGCACCUUACG